GACGAACGCUGGCGGCACGCUUAACACAUGCAAGUCGAACGAGAGAAGAGAAGCUUGCUUUUCUGAUCUAGUGGCGGACGGGUGAGUAACACGUGAGCAAUCUGCCUUUCAGAGGGGGAUACCGAUUGGAAACGAUCGUUAAUACCGCAUAAUAUAAUUGAACCGCAUGAUUUGAUUAUCAAAGAUUUAUCGCUGAAAGAUGAGCUCGCGUCUGAUUAGCUAGUUGGUAAGGUAACGGCUUACCAAGGCGACGAUCAGUAGCCGGACUGAGAGGUUGAUCGGCCACAUUGGGACUGAGACACGGCCCAGACUCCUACGGGAGGCAGCAGUGGGGAAUAUUGCACAAUGGAGGAAACUCUGAUGCAGCGAUGCCGCGUGAGGGAAGAAGGUUUUAGGAUUGUAAACCUCUGUCUUCAGGGACGAAAAAUGACGGUACCUGAGGAGGAAGCUCCGGCUAACUACGUGC
rnacentral:rRNA from 1 species